rnacentral:rRNA from 1 species
UUAAGUUAGAAAGGGCGCACGGUGGAUGCCUUGGCACUAGGAGCCGAAGAAGGACGGGACUAACACCGAUAUGCUUUGGGGAGCUGUACGUAAGCGUUGAUCCAGAGAUUUCCGAAUGGGGGAACCCACUAUCUUUAGUCGGAUAGUAUCCUUACGUGAAUACAUAGCGUGAGGAAGGCAGACCCAGGGAACUGAAACAUCUAAGUACCUGGAGGAAGAGAAAGAAAAAUCGAUUUCCUGAGUAGCGGCGAGCGAAACGGAAAGAGCCCAAACCAAGAAGCUUGCUUCUUGGGGUUGUAGGACACUCUAUACGGAGUUACAAAAGAAAGUUAUAAAUGAAGCGGUCUGGAAAGGCCCGCCAAAGACGGUAACAGCCCGGUAGUUGAAAUGGCUUUCCCUCCAGAGUGGAUCCUGAGUACGGCGGAACACGUGAAAUUCCGUCGGAAUCCGGGAGGACCAUCUCCCAAGGCUAAAUACUCCCUAGUGACCGAUAGUGAACCAGUACCGUGAGGGAAAGGUGAAAAGCACCCCGGAAGGGGAGUGAAACAGUUCCUGAAACCGUGUGCCUACAAGUAGUUAGAGCCCGUUAAUGGGUGAUAGCGUGCCUUUUGUAGAAUGAACCGGCGAGUUACGAUUUGUUGCAAGGUUAAGCGGAAAAAGCGGAGCCGUAGCGAAAGCGAGUCUGAAUAGGGCGCAUAAGUAACAGGUCGUAGACCCGAAACCAGGUGAUCUACCCAUGUCCAGGAUGAAGGUAAGGUAAUACUUACUGGAGGUCCGAACCCACGCACGUUGAAAAGUGCGGGGAUGAGGUGUGGGUAGCGGAGAAAUUCCAAUCGAACUUGGAGAUAGCUGGUUCUCUCCGAAAUAGCUUUAGGGCUAGCCUCGAGGUAAAGAGUCAUGGAGGUAGAGCACUGUUUGGACUAGGGGCCCUUCUCGGGUUACCGAAUUCAGAUAAACUCCGAAUGCCAUGUACUUAUACUCGGGAGUCAGACUGCGAGUGAUAAGAUCCGUAGUCGAAAGGGAAACAGCCCAGACCACCAGUUAAGGUCCCCAAAUAUAUGUUAAGUGGAAAAGGAUGUGGGGUUGCUUAGACAACCAGGAUGUUGGCUUAGAAGCAGCCACCAUUGAAAGAGUGCGUAAUAGCUCACUGGUCGAGUGACCCCGCGCCGAAAAUGUACCGGGGCUAAACAUAUUACCGAAACUGUGGAUGAACCUCUUUAGAGGUUCGUGGUAGGAGAGCGUUCUAAGGGCGGUGAAGUCAGACCGGAAGGACUGGUGGAGCGCUUAGAAGUGAGAAUGCCGGUAUGAGUAGCGAAAGAAGGGUGAGAAUCCCUUCCACCGAAUAUCUAAGGUUUCCUGAGGAAGGCUCGUCCGCUCAGGGUUAGUCGGGACCUAAGCCGAGGCCGAUAGGCGUAGGCGAUGGACAACAGGUAGAGAUUCCUGUACCAGUGCUAAUUGUUUAACCGAUGGGGUGACACAGAAGGAUAGGGAAUCGCACGAAUGGAAAUGUGCGUCCAAGCAGUGAGUGUGAGAAGUAGGCAAAUCCGCUUCUCGCGAAGCAUGAGCUGUGAUGGGGAAGGAAAUUAAGUACGGAAGUUCCUGAUUUCACGCUGUCAAGAAAAGCCUCUAGGAAGAGUAGUACUGCCCGUACCGCAAACCGACACAGGUAGAUGAGGAGAGAAUCCUAAGGUGAGCGAGAGAACUCUCGUUAAGGAACUCGGCAAAAUGACCCCGUAACUUCGGGAGAAGGGGUGCUCUAUUAGGGUGCAAGCCCGAGAGAGCCGCAGUGAAUAGGCCCAGGCGACUGUUUAGCAAAAACACAGGUCUCUGCAAAACCGUAAGGUGACGUAUAGGGGCUGACGCCUGCCCGGUGCUGGAAGGUUAAGAGGAGUGCUUAGCUUCGGCGAAGGUACGAAUUGAAGCCCCAGUAAACGGCGGCCGUAACUAUAACGGUCCUAAGGUAGCGAAAUUCCUUGUCGGGUAAGUUCCGACCCGCACGAAAGGCGCAACGAUCUGGGCACUGUCUCAACGAGAGACUCGGUGAAAUUAUAGUACCUGUGAAGAUGCAGGUUACCCGCGACAGGACGGAAAGACCCCGUGGAGCUUUACUGCAACCUGAUAUGGAAUGUUUGUACCGCUUGUACAGGAUAGGUAGGAGCCGAAGAGACGUGUGCGCUAGCAUACGAGGAGGCAAUGGUGGGAUACUACCCUGGCUGUAUGACCAUUCUAACCCGCCACGCUUAGCGCGUGGGGAGACAGUGUCAGGUGGGCAGUUUGACUGGGGCGGUCGCCUCCUAAAGAGUAACGGAGGCGCCCAAAGGUUCCCUCAGAAUGGAUGGAAAUCAUUCGCAGAGUGUAAAG